UCUCCGGUGGCCUAGUGGUUAGAGCGUCCGCUUUUGAUGCGGGAAGUCGCGGGUUUGAACCUCGGUCAAGUGAU